GGAUUUACUGGGUGUAAAGGGCGUGCAGCCGGGUCUGCAAGUCAGAUGUGAAAUCCAUGGGCUCAACCCAUGAACUGCAUUUGAAACUGUAGAUCUUGAGUGUCGGAGGGGCAAUCGGAAUUCCUAGUGUAGCGGUGAAAUGCGUAGAUAUUAGGAGGAACACCAGUGGCGAAGGCGGAUUGCUGGACGAUAACUGACGGUGAGGCGCGAAAGUGUGGGGAGCAAACAGGAUUAGAUACCCUGGUAGUCCACACUGUAAACGAUGAAUACUAGGUGUGCGGCGUGCCGCAGUAAACACAAUAAGUAUUCCACCUGGGGAGUACGAUCGCAAGGUUGAAACUCAAAGGAAUUGACGGGGGCCCGCACAAGCGGUGGAUUAUGUGGUUUAAUUCGAAGCAACGCGAAGAACCUUACCAGGGUUUGACAUCCAGGUGGUGCAUGGUUGUCGUCAGCUCGUGUCGUGAGAUGUUGGGUUAAGUCCCGCAACGAGCGCAACCCCUAUUGUUAGUUGCCACUCUAGCGAGACUGCCGUUGACAAACGGAGGAAGGUGGGGACGACGUCAAAUCAUCAUGCCCCUUAUAUCCUGGGCUACACACGUAAUACAAUGGCGGUCACAGAGGGAAGCAAAGCCGCGAGGCAGAGCAAACCCCCAAAGCCGUC
rnacentral:rRNA from 1 species